rnacentral:rRNA from 1 species
UACGUAGGGGGCAAGCGUUGUCCGGAUUUAUUGGGUUUAAAGGGUGCGUAGGCGGCUAAUUAAGUCAGCGGUGAAAUUCUACAGCUUAACUGUAAGAACUGCCAUUGAUACUGGUUGGCUUGAGUACAGAUGAGGUAGGCGGAAUUGACAGUGUAGCGGUGAAAUGCUUAGAUAUCUGGAGGAACACCGGUGGCGAAGGCGGCAUCCUGGACCGAUAUUGACGCUGAUGCGCGAAAGCCAGGGGAGCAAACGGG